rnacentral:tRNA from 1 species
GGCCGCUUCGAAUAUCGGUUUAGUUCGCCGCCCUCUCAAGGCGGAGAGACGGGUUCGACUCCCGUAGUGGCUAUCA